rnacentral:rRNA from 1 species
GUGGGGAAUAUUGGACAAUGGGCGCAAGCCUGAUCCAGCCAUGCCGCGUGAGUGAUGAAGGCCCUAGGGUUGUAAAGCUCUUUCACCGGAGAAGAUAAUGACGGUAUCCGGAGAAGAAGCCCCGGCUAACUUCGUGCCAGCAGCCGCGGUAAUACGAAGGGGGCUAGCGUUGUUCGGAAUUACUGGGCGUAAAGCGCACGUAGGCGGAUAUUUAAGUCAGGGGUGAAAUCCCGGAGCUCAACUCCGGAACUGCCUUUGAUACUGGGUAUCUCGAGUAUGGAAGAGGUAAGUGGAAUUCCGAGUGUAGAGGUGAAAUUCGUAGAUAUUCGGAGGAACACCAGUGGCGAAGGCGGCUUACUGGUCCAUUACUGACGCUGAGGUGCGAAAGCGUGGGGAGCAAACAGGAUUAGAUACCCCAGUAGUCC